rnacentral:rRNA from 1 species
UACGUAGGUGGCAAGCGUUGUCCGGAUUUACUGGGCGUAAAGGGCGCGUAGGCGGUGCACUAAGUCAGGCGUGAAAGCCCUGGGCUCAACCCGGGAAUUGCGCUUGAUACUGUUUGGCUUGAGACCGGAAGAGGUUAGUGGAACUGCGAGUGUAGAGGUGAAAUUCGUAGAUAUUCGCAAGAACACCAGUGGCGAAGGCGGCUAACUGGUCCGGUUCUGACGCUGAGGCGCGAAAGCGUGGGGGAGCAAACAGG